rnacentral:rRNA from 1 species
UACGGAGGAUGCGAGCGUUAUCCAGAUUUAUUGGGUUUAAAGGGUGCGUAGGCGGCUUUUUAAGUCAGCGGUGAAAUUUUGCAGCUUAACUGUAACAGUGCCGUUGAUACUGGGGAGCUAGGAUUUGGUUGCUGUGGGUGGAAUGUGUGGUGUAGCGGUGAAAUGCUUAGAGAUCACACAGAAUAUCGAUUGCGAAGGCAGCUCACAAAGCCAAGAUUGACGCUGAGGCACGAAAGUGUGGGGAUCAAACAGGA